rnacentral:rRNA from 1 species
AGUGAACGCUGGCGGUAGGCCUAACACAUGCAAGUCGAACGGCAGCACAGUAAGAGCUUGCUCUUACGGGUGGCGAGUGGCGGACGGGUGAGGAAUACAUCGGAAUCUACUUUUUCGUGGGGGAUAACGUAGGGAAACUUACGCUAAUACCGCAUACGACCUACGGGUGAAAGCAGGGGAUCUUCGGACCUUGCGCGAUUGAAUGAGCCGAUGUCGGAUUAGCUAGUUGGCGGGGUAAAGGCCCACCAAGGCGACGAUCCGUAGCUGGUCUGAGAGGAUGAUCAGCCACACUGGAACUGAGACACGGUCCAGACUCCUACGGGAGGCAGCAGUGGGGAAUAUUGGACAAUGGGCGCAAGCCUGAUCCAGCCAUACCGCGUGGGUGAAGAAGGCCUUCGGGUUGUAAAGCCCUUUUGUUGGGAAAGAAAAGCAGCAGGUUAAUACCCCGCUGUUCUGACGGGACCCAAAGAAGAAACACCGGCGAACUUCGU